rnacentral:rRNA from 1 species
AACAAACGCUGGCGGCGUGCCUAACACCUGCAAGUCGUACGAGAAAGGGUCCUUCGGGGCCUGAGUAAAGUGGCGCACGGGUGAGUAACGCGUGGAUAAUCUGCCCUUCAGUUGGGAAUAACUCAUCGAAAGGUGGGCUAAUACCGAAUAAUGCUGUGAGACCUCGGUUGAUCAGCCAAAGAGAGCCUCUGCUUGCAAGCCCUCGCUGAAGGAUGAGUCCGCGGACCAUUAGCUAGUCGGUAGGGUAAUGGCCUACCAAGGCGACGAUGGUUAGCUGGUCUGAGAGGAUUAUCAGCCAGCCUGGAACUGAGACUCGGUCCAGACUCCUACGGGAGGCAGCAGUGAGGAAUCUUGCGCAAUGGGGGCAACCCUGACGCAGCAACGCCGCGUGAGUGAGGAAGGUCUUCGGAUCGUAAAGCUCUGUCGGAUGGAAAGAACCGCAUAGGGGUAAACAGCCCCUGUGUCUGACGGUACCAUCAAAGGAAGCACCGGCUAACUCCGUGCCAGCCGCCGCAGUAAAAC